rnacentral:tRNA from 1 species
UGGGCUAUAGCCAAGUGGUAAGGCAGCGGACUUUGACUUCGUUAGCGUUGGUUCGAAUCCACUAGCCCAG